rnacentral:rRNA from 1 species
UGUGACUCGUCACACUAUCAUUAACUGAAUCCAUAGGUUAAUGAGGCGAACCGGGGGAACUGAAACAUCUAAGUACCCCGAGGAAAAGAAAUCAACCGAGAUUCCCCCAGUAGCGGCGAGCGAACGGGGAGGAGCCCAGAGCCUGAAUCAGCAUGUGUGUUAGUGGAAGCGUCUGGAAAGGCGCGCGAUACAGGGUGACAGCCCCGUACACAAAAGCGCAUGUGCUGUGAGCUCGAUGAGUAGGGCGGGACACGUGGUAUCCUGUCUGAAUAUGGGGGGACCAUCCUCCAAGGCUAAAUACUCCUGACUGACCGAUAGUGAACCAGUACCGUGAGGGAAAGGCGAAAAGAACCCCGGCGAGGGGAGUGAAAAAGAACCUGAAACCGUGU